UACGUAGGAUCCAAGCGUUAUCCGGAAUCACUGGGCGUAAAGCGUGCGUAGGCGGGAGUCGCGUGAGAUGCGAAAUCUGAUGGCUCAACCAUCUAGACUGUAUCUCAUACGGGACACCUGGAGGAUGGCAGAGGCAAGUGGAAUUACCGGUGUAGCAGUGAAAUGCGUAGAGAUCGGUAGGAACACCAAUGGCGAAAGGCAGCUUGCUGGGCCAUUUCUGACGCUGAGGCACGAAAAGCGUGGGGGAGCGAACAGG
rnacentral:rRNA from 1 species